rnacentral:rRNA from 1 species
UGUGAUGCCCUUAGAUGUUCUGGGCCGCACGCGCGCUACACUGGUCGGUCCAACAGGUACAUUCCGCCUCGGUCGAUAGAUCCGGGCAACCCUUCGAGACCCGACCGUGCUGGGGAUAGACCGUUGUAAUUGUCGGUCUUCAACGAGGAAUUCCUAGUAGGCGCAGGUCAUCAGCCUGCGCCGAUUACGUCCCUGCCCUUUGUACACACCG